UGCGUAGGUGGCGCCGUAAGUCGGGUGUGAAAUUUCGGAGCUUAACUCCGAAACUGCAUUCGAUACUGCGGUGCUUGAGGACUGGAGAGGAGACUGGAAUUCAUGGUGUAGCAGUGAAAUGCGUAGAGAUCAUGAGGAAGACCAGUGGCGAAGGCGGGUCUCUGGACAGUUCCUGACACUGAGGCACGAAGGCCAGGGGAGCAAACGG
rnacentral:rRNA from 1 species